rnacentral:rRNA from 1 species
AUUGAACGCUGGCGGAAUGCUUUACACAUGCAAGUCGAACGGCAGCACGGACUUCGGUCUGGUGGCGAGUGGCGAACGGGUGAGUAAUGUAUCGGAACGUGCCCAGUCGUGGGGGAUAACGUAGUGAAAAUUACGCUAAUACCGCAUACGAUCUAUGGAUGAAAGCGGGGGAUCGCAAGACCUCGCGCGAUUGGAGCGGCCGAUAUCAGAUUAGGUAGUUGGUGGGGUAAAUGCCCACCAAGCCAACGAUCUGUAGCUGGUCUGAGAGGACGACCAGCCACACUGGAACUGAGACACGGUCCAGGCUCCUACGGGAGGCAGCAGUGGGGAAUUUUGGACAAUGGGCGAAAGCCUGAUCCAGCCAUUCCGCGUGCAGGAUGAAGGCCCUCGGGUUGUAAACUGCUUUUGUACAGAACGAAAAGGUUUCUACUAAUACUAGGAGCUCAUGACGGUACUGUAGAAUAAGCACCGGCUAACUACGUGCCAGCCGCCGCCGUAA